UACGGAGGGAGCUAGCGUUGUUCGGAAUUACUGGGCGUAAAGCGCACGUAGGCGGCUUUGUAAGUUAGAGGUGAAAGCCCGGGGCUCAACCCCGGAAUUGCCUUUAAGACUGCAUCGCUUGAAUCCGGGAGAGGUGAGUGGAAUUCCGAGUGUAGAGGUGAAAUUCGUAGAUAUUCGGAAGAACACCAGUGGCGAAGGCGGCUCACUGGACCGGUAUUUGACGCU
rnacentral:rRNA from 1 species